CGACGAGGGAUCCAGAGUGUUGCUAGUUUUUACUAGUGGCUGUCCUUUAGCUUAAAAAGCUAGAGGUAGAAAGGGCUGGGUAAGACUACUGCCAGCCGCCGCGGUAACAGUAGCAGCCCUAGUGGUUGUCGCGAUUAUUGGGCUUAAAGGGUCCGUAGCCGGCCUAGCAAAUGCCUGGCGAAAUCCUACGGCUUAACCGUAGAGCUAGUCAGGUAGACUACUAGGCUUGGGACCGAGAGAGGCUCCGGGUACUUUUGGGGUAGGGGUGAAAUCCUAUAAUCCCAAGAGGACCGCCAGUGGCGUAGGCGCGUGGCCAGAAUGGGUCCGACGGUGAGGGGCGAAAGCUGGGGGAGCGAACGGGAUUAGAUACCCCGGUAGUCCCAGCUGUAAACGAUGCGGACUGGGUGUUAGAGCGGCCUAGAGUCGCUCUAGUGCCGAAGGGAAACCGUUAAGUCCGCCGCCUGGGAAGUAUGGCCGCAAGGCUGAAACUCAAAGGAAUUGACGG
rnacentral:rRNA from 1 species